rnacentral:misc_RNA from 1 species
GAUGAAGAACGUAGCGAAAUGCGAUAAGUAAUGUGAAUUGCAGAAUUCAGUGAAUCAUCGAAUCUUUGAACGCACAUUGGGCCCGCCAGUAUUCUGGCGGGCAUGCCUGUUCGAGCGUCAUUUCAACCAUCAAGCCCCCGGCUUGUGUUGGGGACCUGCGGCUGCCGCAGGCCCUGAAAACCAGUGGCGGGCUCGCUAGUCACUCCGAGCGUAGUAGUUACAUCUCGCUCAGGGCGUGCUGCGGGUUCCGGCCGUUAAAAGCCUUAUUUACCCAAGGUUGACCUCGGAUCAGGUAGGAAGACCCGCUGAACUUAAGCAUAUCAAUAAGCGGAGGA